GUGUAAGAUUCUAGGGGAAAAGAUUAGCCUUACCUUCAGACUCUGAAAUUGCCCCUCCCACCUUGUAAAUGUAUGUCAAGCUAUAUUGGUCGACCCUGGAGAAAACUGUGUUCCGUGGUUAUGAAGCUCACAAGGCAAUUCAAAUGGUUGUCGUUUGACUUGAAAGCUGACAUUCAAAUUAAAAUCAAACCCUUUUGCUGUA